rnacentral:rRNA from 1 species
GAUCUCAGAUGAAGUGAGACAACCCCCUGAAUUUAAGCAUAUUAAUAAGGGGAGGAAAAGAAACUAACAAGGAUUCCCCUAGUAACGGCGAGUGAAGCGGGAUGAGCUCAAUUUGAAAAUCGGUGAUCCAAGCGGGUCAUCGAAUUGUAGCCUAGAGACGUGUCAUCAGCGUGUGAGCCAGGUACAAGUCCUUUGGAAGAAGGCAUCAUAGAGGGUGAGAAUCCCGUCUCUGAUCUGGAUUUCGCCGCGUACGAUGCAUGUUCACAGAGUCGAGUUGUUUGGGAUUGCAGCUCUAAAUGGGUGGUAAGUUUCAUCUAAAGCUAAAUAUUGGCGAGAGACCGAUAGCGAACAAGUACCGUGAGGGAAAGAUGAAAAGAACUUUGAAAAGAGAGUUAAAAAGUACUUGAAAUUGCUAAGAGGGAAGGAAUAAAAACCAG